GACGAACCGUGCGAAUGUUGUUCGGAAUCACUGGGCUUAAAGGGCGCGUAGGCGGGCAGGCAAGUCAGGGGUGAAAUCCCACGGCUCAACCGUGGAAGUGCCUUUGAUACUGCCGGUCUUGAGGGAGGUAGGGGCGUGCGGAACUUCCGGUGGAGCGGUGAAAUGCGUAGAUAUCGGAAGGAACACCGGUGGCGAAAGCGGCGCGCUGGACCUCUUCUGACGCUGAGGCGCGAAAGCCAGGGGAGCAAACGGG
rnacentral:rRNA from 1 species